UUUUCACAAGCUCAAAACUCACACGCAUCUAGAAAUCUGUCCACAUGCAGUGUCCAGUAGGUCGAAGAAGAACAAGUACGACUCAUUUGAGGAAUUUCAAAUUAGCUAUUGAAUGGCUAAUGGCGUAACUACAUCAUCCAUAUGUAUCGGUGUCCUCUCGAUCCAUUCAAUGGUAUUAACAAUCAAUCCCCAAGGAGAUGGAUAUCAACCCUUCAGUAUCAAGUUAGAGAAACUCACUUUCGAUACAUGGACAGUUGAUAUUUCGUGAAUCAGAUGUUAUUCCACCACGUUUGCAAUGCACUGACUCACCUUCAGCACUUUCAAACGGAUAUUGUUCGUGGUGUAGAAGGCUACACUGCUACAUCGUAUAAACAAAUUGAGAGAGAGUUUUCAGAAUAUAUAAAGGGAGUUAUGGUGCUAAUACAUCUCGACUACUGGUGGAAGUCUUGGGCAUCAAAGGUAGCUUGGAAGUCCUUCUUUUGGCGAGCACUAUGAUCCUAACCAGGAAGUACAACUCUUCCCCAUUCCUGUUCAGACGAAUUCAUUAUUGGAAGCUGCACUUAAUACACUACCUCGACUCAGAUGGGAAAAAGGGUGGGAAUACACAGGUCUGUUUGAGUUGGGAAAAAAAGAAAGAAAUUAAGCCAUAUAAUUUGUUAUAGAUAUCUGUCGCUUCACAAGGAGGCAAUGAAUUUGGUGCUGCACCGAAAGAAUGAGUUGUGGGUUCUUUUAAAAUUCCACCAGUUCCCUUUUGUUUUUUUUCCGUCUAACUGAGCUUUAGCAUUUGUCUUUGUCGUGUGCUGCAGGGCAUUUGUCCAUGAAAUAGAGGUAAAGAAGAAUCUUGGUUAUGAGCUGAAUAGGUAAAGGUCUUCUAUGGUGUUAUCAUCAAUGAUCAGGGUAUUAUCUGAACGGAGGUACAUGUGUAAAAUUUGGUCGUCAAAUUUAAAAACUUAACUUUGAUGUGUUUUGUAUAUUUUUAUGAUUAUUACUUAUAUACCUGUCUUGCAAGGUUACCCGUAACAUAAAUCGUUAAUUUAGUUGCAUUAGCUGGUAAAACGAUGUGGGAGAAUCCUCCCGAUUAUUGUGGAAUACUGGAAUAAGUUGUUUACUCGACAUUAAUUAAAAGAAUGUGUCAUGUGGAUAUAAAAUAGAAUAGAUUUAAGAUCAGGAAUCCGUUCGUCAUGCCUGAAAUGGUUAUGAGCUGGAGAAAAUAAACUCUCUAUCAGAUGCCAGAGAAUUCAGCGGGAGAAAACAGUGUGAAACGGAUACAAGGCGGACUUUGAUGAUAAUUGAAUGAUAUACGGCCAUACUUUAGCUGCUGCCAUAUCAUGCAAAUUGCAAAUUAACCUUUAGUAUACAGGCAUCUGAUUGAGGUAAACUCCGAUUAUCAGACGUAUGUCUAAAACUAUGUGAGUUGAAAUAACUCAUGAUGAUUGCUAACCUCCCAAUGCCAAAGAAGGUACCCCAAUUAAGGUGACCAAAAAUAUUGAGCUUGCAUGCAUGUAUACUAACCGAAUAUUUAUUGUAUAUAAAGUAUCUCCUAGAAUUUCAUUUGCUUUAAAAGCACCGUCAAGGAUUAUCGAGGAAGCAAUUCAAGAAUCCUGAAUGGUUAUCUGCUCAUCUAUGCGAAUUAAAAUUUGUAAUUGGCCUAUAGGAUGAAAAGGAGGUGAACCCCUUUGUGGUUCCGUGGAUGAAGAAUGAAGAACGGUAUGAUACUAGCUGUGGUGUCGUUGUAAGCCAUAUGAAAUAAUCUGAUGUUUCAUUUGGCUAGAUAUUUUUCCUUUUCUGCAAUUUACUUACUUUGGUGUCCAGUUAUAGUGUAACCAGACGCACACACACAAGUAUCGUCCCAUUGAAGUUUUGAAAUCUAUGUGCGGUGAUAUUUCAGAAAUGGGUCAUUCCAUUUGUUUUAGUUCUGAUGUUAAAUUUGUCUUUUUGUUUGUCUCUUAUGCAUUUACUUACCUUGGUUUCCAGUUAUAAAGUACCACAGCAAGGACUCCCGUUGUUUCAGUUUACUAACAAGUGGAUGAACUCCUUUCUGUCAUCCUAAACUCUUUCUUGCCAGAUCUGUCAGAACCAUCAAGGUUUGUUAAAGUUUUGACCCAUUAUUGGUGGCUGCCUAUGAGUCUGUUGUUCCCUUCGUUUUUCUUUUGGUCUUUAAAAUAGGAAGUGAUCCGGUGAAGGUACAUAUCAACAUUGGCAGGGACUUGGUCUACGCCCUGAAUGUCGGAAACUAUUCAUCCUCAAGGAAACAAAAUCUUAUGAACAGGCCAAGGUUGUUUAACGUUCUACUCUAUGAUUAUGAUAUGUGAUCUCUUCAUGAUGCAGUAAGAUUUAAGAAUGUUUUAGCAGUAGCAAUUAACAACCAUUUAAAUCAUCUUCCAGUUUUAAAUACUCCAAAUGACUGUACACAGUGGUGUUGAACCAACAAGUCUUUAUGAUUA